rnacentral:rRNA from 1 species
AUAGCGUAUAUUAAAGUUGUUGCGGUUAAAAAGCUCGUAGUUGAAUCUGUGUGUCACGAUGUUGGUUCACCGCUCGCGGUGUUUAACUAGCAUGCCGUGAGACGUCCUACCGGUGGGCUUAGCUCUUAACGGGGCGGUCCAACAUACUCCCAUCGUGGUGCUCUUCACUGAGUGUCGAGGUGGGCCGGUACGUUUACUUUGAACAAAUUAGAGUGCUUAAAGCAGGCUAUUUUCGCCUGAAUACUGUGUGCAUGGAAUAAUGGAAUAGGACCUCGGUUCUAUUUUGUUGGUUUUCGGAACCCCGAGGUAAUGAUUAAUAGGGACAGAUGGGGGCAUUCGUAUUGCGACGUUAGAGGUGAAAUUCUUGGAUCGUCGCAAGACGGACAGAAGCGAAAGCAUUUGCCAAAAAUGUUUUCAUUAAUCAAGAACGAAAGUUAGAGGUUCGAAGGCGAUCAGAUACCGCCCUAGUUCUAACCAUAAACGAUGCCAGCUAGCGAUCCGCCGAAGUUCCUCCGAUGACUCGGCGGGCAGCUUCCGGGAAACCAAAGCUUUUGGGUUCCGGGGGAAGUAUGGUUGCAAAGCUGAAACUUAAAGGAAUUGACGGAAGGGCACCACCAGGAGUGGAGCCUGCGGCUUAAUUUGACUCAACACGGGAAACCUCACCAGGCCCGGACACCGGAAGGAUUGACAGAUUGACAGCUCUUUCUUGAUUCGGUGGGUGGUGGUGCAUGGCCGUUCUUAGUUGGUGGAGCGAUUUGUCUGGUUAAUUCCGAUAACGAACGAGACUCUAGCCUGCUAAAUAGGCGUACUUUCUGGUAUCUCGAAGGCCCCUGGCUUUGCCGGGUGGUUUUUACUACCGACGUACAAACAAAUCUUCUUAGAGGGACAGGCGGCUUCUAGCCGCACGAGAUUGA